rnacentral:rRNA from 1 species
CGAAAUGCGAUAAGUAAUGUGAAUUGCAGAAUUCAAGUGAAUCAUCGAAUCUUUGAACGCACAUUGCGCCCGCCAGUAUUCUGGCGGGCAUGCCUGUCCGAGCGUCAUUUCAACCCUCGAACCCCUCCGGGGGGUCGGCGUUGGGGAUCGGCCCUGCCU